AUGAAAGAAAAAAUUAAAAUCCUUUUAAAAAAGGCAAAUAGCUAAAGAAAAAAAAAGGAAAACGCCUAUCUAUUAAAGCCGUCGGCUUCUUAUUAACGAAGGAAUAGAAGAAUGUGAUCUCCAUCUGCAAGUUCGUCCCCAUCGCCCACAGAUAUAAGAAGCUUUGUUUGUCAAGUUGCUUUCAAAUCCUAUAUCGAUUUCACCUUCUUGAAACAAAAUCAAGUCAUGUGGCCUUAUGAGCUAGAAAGAGAAGUUUGUGACUGUAAUACUACAUCCUCUCUUUUUCCUAUCAAAGAUGCAGAGAGAAACAAAGGAAAGAGGCUUCAUGGCUUUAAUUUGUGAAUAGGAAGUUGAUGGAAAUGAACAAGCUCUUGAUGGAGGAGAAUGAUAGAAUCAUUCCUAUGCAAUGCUCUACUACUACUGCUACCUUACAUAUGUAGUCACACUGAUCUGCUUCUUCUUUUUUCCAGGUCGCAGAGAUCAUCAAGGAUCGGCCUUCAUGGUUCUGUGAACGCACGAGCUAGCUGUUGUUUAUGAAUGUGUUGUAUUCUUACGAGACUUUAGAGAAGUGAAAUCAAUGCAAUGCAUACAACUACAAAUGCGAGCUCUUGAAUCUGCUGUUGUUUACGCUAAUGUUCCUUUGAUAUCUGUAGGGGUUUGCAUUCAUUGACUAAGCAAUGUCCUGCUUUGAAGUUGUUCUCAAAGCAUUUGAAAGUUAAGGAACAUGUAGUGUUGUAUUCUUAUGAGGCUUUAGAAUCUGCUGAUAGAUUUUAAUAUAACUGCAACGUGAUCUUCCA